UAAUAAUCAAUUCUUACUUAAUUAUAAUUGAUAACAAUCACUCCGCAUCAGGAGUCAUCCCUUCAAUGGACUUCCAAACAGUUACUGUCUAUCAAAUUUCACUCAAAAUAUUUUGCUUCACUUGAAGCUGUGGUGCUGAGCAAUGGGACUGAACCCAAAACCAUGUUGAUGUGGAGCAAACUUUUUUAAACAUACUACCAUGCCUUCCUCUAUUUACAAAAGCAACUGUGCAGGUAUUGAAUGAAGUCUUAUUCAUUGCUUUAUCUCUUUAUCUUUUCACAGCUGUUACAUUAUUAAUAAUUAGCACAUCAAACUUAAAUUAGAUCACCUUAGCCUGCUGUUAAUGUCCAGAGACACUAUUUCAUGUUGACAACAUAUGCUAAUAACUAAUUUGUUCAUAGCCUGCCAGCCUUUUGUGAUGUCACUAGCUGUUUGCCAUUAUUAUUCAAUGUCAGUUCAACUGAUUUUCAUUCUGGAGUUUGGUGAGACGUAGACUGCCAUGAAUGAUCCACAGAAAUGGUGAAAUGGUGAAAUCAAGUGAAUGCCAUCCACCAGUGUAAAUGAUUAUUUCAUUGGCUGGUGCUUAAUUAGCAUGUGUUGUCAAGAUGAGACAGUAUCUCUCAACAAGCAGGUUAAGAGCGGAGCAACUGAACACAGUACACACAAUUCACACCACCAACCUCACUCUCUUGUGUGUGACUAUCUUUCAAUCCAGUGACAAGGCCAGGUCAAGACAACUAAGGAUGGAGAUGGAUACUGUGGAUGGCAAAGAUGCCUUACAUUCCUCAGCUUAUUCUCAGGCACCUUCUCCUCCACUAAACCAUGACAAUUUCUUUUGCAAGUCUGCUGGAUCCAGUAACAUAUACACACACACUUAUACAAUGUCAAAAAAUAUUGAUACUUUUCUUCAUCUAUUGAGAUUUAAAUCAUUUUUACAAAAUUUUGAAUCAUAAUCUUAUUACUCUUGUGUCACAUAAAAAUGAUUCCAACUUUUUAUAAGAA